rnacentral:rRNA from 1 species
AAUAGAUACCCAGGUAGUCCACGCCGUAAACGAUGAGUGCUAAGUGUUAGGGGGUUCCCGCCCCUUAGUGCUGCAGCUAACGCAUUAAAGCACUCCGCCUGGGGAGUACGGUCGCAAGACUGAAACUCAAAGGAAUUGACGGGGGCCCGCACAAGCGGUGGAGCAUGUGGUUUAAUUCGAAGCAACGCGAAGAACCUUACCAGGUCUUGACAUCCCAUUGACCACUAUGGAGACAUAGUUUUCCCUUCGGGGACAACGGUGACAGGUGGUGCAUGGUUGUCGUCAGCUCGUGUCGUGAGAUGUUGGGUUAAGUCCCGCAACGAGCGCAACCCUUGUUCUUAGUUGCCAUCAUUUAGUUGGGCACUUCUAAGGAGACUGCCGGUGACGAAACCGGAGGAAGGUGGGGAUGACGUCAAAUCAUCAUGCCCCUUAUGACCUGGGCUACGCACGUGCUACAAUGGGUGGUACAGAGGUUGCCAAGCCGUGAGGUGGAGCUAAUCCCUUAAAGCCAUUCUCAGUUCGGAUUGUAGGCUGAAACUCGCCUA